rnacentral:lncRNA from 1 species
CCACCGCCCCCAGUUCAUCCCAAUGGACUCCAGAACAUCUGUGCAAGAAGUCUGCAAAGCAGCAAAUCUCUGCCCAGACAAGGGGCCAUGCUGCCUGCAGUUGUGGAAAUCAUGGAAGGAAUACAUGUCAUAUAUAUGACGUAAUUCCCCACAUCAAGGAGCCUACGAUCAGAUCAUAUUGAGGAUGAAAGGCUACAUGAGGAUACAGGGAAAAGACCACCAUCGCCAGGAGGAGACUUAUCACCAGAAACCAAACCAGUCAGCACCUUAAUCUUGGACUUCCCAUCCUCCAGACUUUUGUACAUGGGAUGCCACCACAGCAUGGCCUGAUGAACAGUGCAUAGGUCCACACCCAAGAUCGGAAUCUGUGAAUUCCUGGCCGCUGAAGUGAAGCAUGUGAACUUAACCACUACACCACCAGGCCAGCCCCAGCAAUGAUAUUUUUU